GCGUGAGUGAUGAAGGCCCUAGGGUUGUAAAGCUCUUUUACCCGGGAUGAUAAUGACAGUACCUGGAGAAUAAGCUCCGGCUAACUCCGUGCCAGCAGCCGCGGUAAUACGGAGGGAGCUAGCGUUGUUCGGAAUUACUGGGCGUAAAGCGCACGUAGGCGGCGACUCAAGUCAGAGGUGAAAGCCUGGAGCUCAACUCCAGAACUGCCUUUGAAACUAGGUUGCUAGAAUCUUGGAGAGGCGAGUGGAAUUCCGAGUGUAGAGGUGAAAUUCGU
rnacentral:rRNA from 1 species